rnacentral:snRNA from 1 species
GGAUGUGAGGGCAAUCUGGCUGUGACAUCUGUCACCCGUUUGAUUGCCAGGGUUGAGUCGGCUGAUCUGGCUGGCUAGGCAGGUGUCAUCUUCCUUCCCCUCUGCUCCGUGUGCACCCCUCCCUCAUUUUUCAUGCUCCGUGAAGACGACAACUUUCCCUGAUAGCAGAGGACGGUUCUUCAGUUAAAGGUAGACGAGUAUCUGUGCUUCCCACUAAGAUCUCCAGACAAGCUCUCAAGGAUGCAGCUAGUGAUUUAUAGUAUUUAAAUUCUGAACCCUGCCCCCCCGACCCCAGAGACACUGUAUACCAGUUUGUCUACACUU